CAGAUUGUAAGGAAUCGUACCCCAAACCGACACAGGUGGUCGGGUAGAGAAUCCCCAGGCGCUUGAGAGAACGCGGGUGAAGAAACUAAGGAAAAUGGUACCGUAACUACGGGAGAAGGUACGCUCUCGACGGUGAAGUCCCUCGCGGAUGGAGCUAUUGAGAGUCGCAGAUACCAGGUGGCUGCAACUGUUUAUUAAAA
rnacentral:rRNA from 1 species